AUGCUACUUUUUUUCAAGUCCAUAUAUUAUCUUCUAUGCAAAAUACACUUACCUCACUACCAUUACGUGUGUAUUAUUGCAUUCACACUCUUUUGUCCUUCAUAUAAAGCCACUCUUCAAUACAUCAUCUCAUUCUCUUUAACACAACUCAAAAAUCAUGUGCAAGCCACACAUAUUUUCCUCUUUCAAUCUCAUUUUCCUUUUUAA